CUCAUCAUUUCAUCUCAUCAUUCAUCUCAUCAUUUCAUAUCAUUUUAUCUCAUCUCAUCAUUUCAUCUCAUUUCAUCAUUACAUUUCAUCUCAUUUUAUGUCAUCAUUUCAUGUCAUCAUUUCAUCACAUCUCAUCUCAUCAUUUCAUCUCAUCAUUUCAUCAUUUCAUCUCAUUUCAACUCAUUGCAUCUCAUCUCAUUUCCAUUUCAUUAUUCCAUUUCAUCAUUUCAUUAUGUCAUUUCACCUCAUCAUUUCAUCACAUCUCAUCUCAUCAUUUCAUCUCAUCAUUUCAUCAUUUCAUCUCAUUUCAACUCAUUGCAUCUCAUCUCAUUUCCAUUUCAUUAUUCCAUUUCAUCAUUUCAUUAUGUCAUUUCACCUCAUCAUAUUUCAUCUCAUUUCAUCUCAUCUCAUCAUUUCAUUUCAUCUCAUCAUUUCAUCUCAUUUUAUCUCAUCUCAUCUCAUCAUUUCUUCUCAUCUCAUCAUUUCCAUUUCAUUUUCAUUUCAUUAUUUCAUCAUUUCAUUAUUUCAUUUCAUCUCAUUUCAUUAUUUCAUUUCAUUAUGUCAUUUCAUUUCAUCUCAUUACAUUUCAUCUCAUUUCAUCUCAUCAUUUCAUCCAUCAUUU
rnacentral:lncRNA from 1 species